rnacentral:rRNA from 1 species
CUUGGUCAUUUAGAGGAAGUAAAAGUCGUAACAAGGUUUCCGUAGGUGAACCUGCGGAAGGAUCAUUCAUAAUAAGUGUUUUAUGGCACUUUUUAAAUCCAUAUCCACCUUGUGUGCAAUGUCAGUCGAUCUUCUUCAUGGAGAUCGGCCAAACAUCAACCUUAUUUUUUAACUCUUUGUCUGAAAAAUAUUAUGAAUAAACAAUUCAAAAUACAACUUUCAACAACGGAUCUCUUGGCUCUCGCAUCGAUGAAGAACGCAGCGAAAUGCGAUACGUAAUGUGAAUUGCGGAAUUCAGUGAAUCAUCGAAUCUUUGAACGCAUAUUGCGCUCUUUGGUAUUCCGAAGAGCAUGCUUGUUUGAGUAUCAGUAAACACCUCAAAGCUUUUGGAUUUUUUUUGAAAGCUUUGGACUUGAGCAAUCCCAACGCCAAUCUUUUUCAGAUCGGCGGCGGGUUGCUUGAAAUGCAGGUGCAGCUGGACUUUCUCCUGAGCUAAAAGCAUAUUCAUUUAGUCCCGUCAAACGGAUUAUUACUUUUGCUGCAGCUAACAUAAAGGGAGUUUGACCGUAUUGGCUGACUGAUGCAGGAUUUUACAAGGGUCGGCAACGAUUCUUGUUAAACUCGAUCGCAAAUCAAGUAAGACUACCCGCUGAACUUAAGCAUAUCAAUAAGCGGAGGA